UUCUUCCUCCUCGUACCUUUUCUCCUUCGCAAGCAAACGCCCUGCACCGACGCACCUGCACGAGGAAGAAGCAAGCGCGCCGGGAACCAUCUCGAGGAACUCCGGCUCCGGCGAUCGCGCUCCGGGGGCGAGCGAUGGACGUGAUAAAGACGCAGCAGAUAUCGGCGAGGCCGGUAGAGAAGGUGAUAGUCCACCCUCUGGUCCUUCUCAGCAUCGUCGACAACUACAACCGGGUCGCCAAGGACACCCGCAGGCGCGUCGUCGGGGUGCUGCUCGGCACCGCCUUCAAAGGCACCGUCGACGUCACCAACAGCUACGCAGUACCUUUCGAGGAAGAUGACAAGGAUCCAAGCAUCUGGUUUCUUGAUCACAACUACCAUGAAGCCAUGUUUUCCAUGUUCAAGAGAAUAAAUGCGAAGGAGCAUGUUGUUGGAUGGUAUAGCACCGGUCCCAAGUUGCGAGAAAAUGACCUUAAUGUCCACGCAUUGUUUGAUGACUAUGUCCCGAAUCCUGUGCUGGUUAUAAUUGAUGUUCAACCUAAGGAACUUGGAAUACCAACAAAGGCAUACUAUGCUGUUGAAGAAGUCAAAGAGAAUGCAACUCAGAAAAGCCAGAAGGUGUUUGUGCACGUUCCUUCAGAAAUUGCUGCCCAUGAGGUUGAGGAAAUAGGUGUGGAGCACUUGCUACGUGAUGUAAAGGAUACAACCAUUAGCACCCUUGCCACAGAGGUCACUGGAAAGCUCACAGCCUUGAAGGGAUUGGAUGCUCGACUUAAGGAGAUAAGAAGCUAUCUUGACCUCGUCGUCGAUGGAAAGCUUCCAUUAAAUCAUGAGAUCCUGUAUCAUCUGCAGGAUGUCUUUAACCUCCUUCCGAAUCUGAAUGUCAAUGAGUUAAUCAAGGCUUUUGCAGUUAAAACGAAUGAUAUGAUGCUAGUUAUAUAUCUCUCUUCCCUCAUCCGAAGUGUGAUUGCACUCCAUAAUUUGAUCAACAAUAAGUCUUCUAGUAAUGAUGCUACCAGUCUUCUCCUACCAACAUUAGUUAUAGGCUUUUAGCUGAAAAGCCCACGUUAACCCUUCCUUUUAAUAUAGAUGAGUUCCUGACCAGUUGCCUUAUUAUCAAGUACUGAGAGAUUCUCAACAAAGAACACGAGAAGGCAGAAGACUCAAAACCUGUCGCGGUACCUGCUGCAUCUGGAAGCUAGAUGGAGGGAUGAAUUAACCUCAGAAACACUGCGAGUUUUCUCUGGACGAUGAACUGUGCGCCGUGCGUGUUUUGUUCUCCUAUUCUUGAGAUGGAUAAGAACCGGAUGAACGGGAGACGAAGUAAUUAGAUACUGUCCUGAAAAAAUUGUCAUUUGAUUAUUUUGCGAUGCCCUGUGACAUUUUAGUGGACUAACGAUAACAACUCUGCAAGUGCCAAAGUUCAAAACAACCCAGGUGACCGUCAAGUGUCCUUGAUCAUCUUCUUCUGUUGCUCGCGUUUUCCGGAGACGUUUAAUUGAAUGUAAUGAGAUCAUUGAUGGAGGUGCAAGUUAAACCUUGUUAAGCGGUUUUUGCCUGAGA